GGUAGUGACAAGAAAUAACAAUACAAGGCAGUUAAAAUGCUUUGUAAUUGGAAUGAUAGAAAUUUAAACACUUUUUAAAGUAUCAAUUGGAGGGCAAGUCUGGUGCCAGCAGCCGCGGUAAUUCCAGCUCCAAUAGCGUAUAUUAAAAUUGUUGCAGUUAAAAAGCUCGUAGUUGAAUUUCUGUUAAAAAUAACCGGUCUGCUUUUAAUAAAAGUGGUAUCUUGGUGUGUUUUUAGCAAUAAUGUCCUUUGAAAUGUUUUUUACUUUAUUGUAAUAAAUAAUAUUCAGGAUUUUUACUUUGAGAAAAUUAGAGUGUUUCUAGCAGGCUAACGCUUUGAAUACUGCAGCAUGGAAUAAUAAAAUAGGAUUUUAGUUCUACAUUAUUGGUUUUAAGAACUAAAUUAAUGAUUGAUAGGGACAGUUGGGGGCAUUUGUAUUUAACUGUCAGAGGUGAAAUUCUUAGAUUUGUUAAAGACAAACUACUGCGAAAGCAUUUGCCAAAGAUGUUUUCAUUAAUCAAGAACGAAAGUUAGGGGAUCGAAGACGAUCAGAUACCGUCGUAGUCUUAACUAUAAACUAUGCCGACUAGAGAU
rnacentral:rRNA from 1 species